GAUUUCUGCCGCCACCACCGCUGUCCAAUGCCUUCUUCCCGCUGACGCUGACCUUCGCUGCCUUUACUUACGCUCACUGACGCCGAGCUCUCUCCGCUGCCGGACCCCCUUAGACCCCUGCCGCCGCCACCUUGCCAGCAUUCCCUCGUUCUCACGCAGGCCUCGCCAACUUGCAGCAGCCUCAGCUCAUAGUCUCCACAGGGAACAACUUCAUCUCUCUGAACUCAUGAAAGUUCUACUUGACCCUUUUCUGCAAACAUCUGCUGCUCUCUAGCUCCAGGGUCACACGAGGCGGUCUUCAGACCCGUGGAUUGGGACUCCUUUGUUUACAUGGAUGGCUGGUUUUCUGGACAGCAGGCCUGGUGACUGCCUGAUCGGUAAAGUAGGAGACUUCAGCAUCUGAGACCCUACCGGGUCUUCUAUGUGAUUGCCUCCGUGAAUGUUCGUAAGCGCCCUCAGAGCACUGUGGGCGGGUGCUUAGGCUCUGAUCGUAAGACGCCGCUGUUAGACAGCAAAGAUUCCUGGAGGUUCUUAUCAGAUAAUUUCUUGGGGAGGGCCCCGCUCAUGCCGCUGCCCUUGGAGUCCUGAACAUGGAUUCCCAUUCUGGCUCUUCUGCUUGAUAGCUGAAUGAUGGAUAGCCUUUGAGCCGUGGUGUCCUCAUCUGUAAACAUGAGUAUAAAGGUACCUCCUUCAUUAGACUGUUCUCAUAACUCAGUGAGGGCUUUGGAAGGGUGUCAUCAUUACAAAUGUCUAUGUAAAUGGUAGUAAUUUAUGCUUCUUUGUAUUCCUUCCUCUGCCUUAACCUCCUUGGUGGAGGGUGGUGGGCAUGCCUGGCACCCAGCACAUACAAUAGACAGUGAUAAAGAAUGAUUAUGAAAAUAAAGGACUGAGAGAAGUCUGCCCCGAGGUAGAGAGGGCAGCUGGGACACAAGGAUGAGAACUGUGUGUAGAGAAGUGGAGGAGUGUACAGGUCAAGUGAGGGAGCUGCCUCCACCUUCUUGUGGAGCGUGGGGUGCCAGCAGUAGGUUUAUUGCAGAAGGUAGAGAGGGAAUAGGUUAUACAGCUUUUUGAUUGCAGUGCUUCGUUUUGGAGGGGCUGGGACAAUAUUAAGACAAUGACGAGUGUUAGGUGCCAAAAGAGUAGACAUGUGAUUGUGGCAGGCAUUGGCAAGACUCACUGAAGGCAAACUGGCCCCAGUCACCUCCUCUGCUAAGGGCGACCCUAGUGUUCUCCUCCGGUUUUGCCCAUACUCACUCUAGUCGCCUCACUUGGGGAUGGGGGUCAGUCUGAAUGCCAAGUGAUGGGUUAAACUGGUGAGCCAAAGGGACGUGGAUGUCAGCCGGGGAGCUGGGUCACACUCCGGGGCUCUGCAGUGGCGUCCCCAUCGUAGCCCCUCGCCCUCUGCGGUCUGCACGGAGCGCUGGCCAUCAGAGGCAUGCACUCGAAGGCGCUGGGGUUGCCUCUGAGCCCUGUAACCUCGGGUAUGUUCCCAACCUCUCUCUGAGUCUCAGUUCCCUACUAUUAUCUACCAUUACUGGUGAGUCACUUACACAACAUUAUGUCUAAUGUUGCUGUUUAUUUUUUUGUGUGAUGCUUAAGUAAUGACCAAAGUACUUGGUCACAUUUAAAGGUUCACACAAAUCGUUCCUGUAAUAUUUUAUGAGGAACUUUAUUUUAAAGUUCAACCAUAUUUUAUGUAACAGGUAAGGAAAGUAUAGUGUAAAGAGGUUAAAUGAGUGUUAAGGUAAUUAGGGGCAGAGGGAGGAACAGAACCCAAGGCUUCUGUUUCCAGGAAGGGCGUCGAGGGAGUGCAGAGGACUGUGUGAGCAUCUCUGGACAGGUGAGCAGGUUCUGAAAGCAGAGGACAGCAACGCUGGCCGUCAGGGGUUCUUUGUGUGUGUCAGGCGUCGGGAGAGGAGAGAACACUGAAUGAAGACCUUUGUAAGUGAGUUGCCGCCUGGCCCUAUUCCCAGAAUGCCCGCCUAACUGAAACUGCCCACGAGCUGUCCAUCCAUAAAUCUCUAGGUACAUUUAAUAAAGGAGUUUGCGUGGAUGAUAGGGAAAUGAAGGCAGGAGGAGGUGAGGUUCUCACCAGUGAGGUGGGACUCCUGGGGAGGGAGUCUGGGGAGCUGGGUGAGGGGAGCCGCAGCAGGAGGCGGGCGCGGGGCUCCAGCCUUAGUGCCCCUGGGGCCAGCAGGAGCCGCCCUCUGUGUUCAGGGUACAGAUUCCUCCAGGUCAGCCACCAUCUUUAGCAUGUUUUAAACACAAGGCACCUCUUUUCAGGGCUUCGGGAUGGCUGAUUCCUACAUCCUUUAGUAACGUUUUCCCUGGAAAGUGAUGGACUGAGACAGGGACACUCGGGAAAGAGGGAGAGGAGCUGGUGAAAUCCCUCACAGUUUGGCGUGUUUUGUGGACAUACAGAAGUUUAGUGCCUCUGCAGCUUCUAGCACUUCUCCCCGCUCCCCCCCUUCCUCCCGCCUGCAUUGCCUGUGGGCAUUUUAGGGCUUGUAGUCAGCCAGCCCCUGCCCCUCCCUCCUGCCCACCUAGGGUUCCCCAGCUCAGCCUCAGGAUGUCUGUGACUUCCUCAGGGGAGCACAGGUCAUUCUGACAUCUGAGCAGAUUGUUCUGAUUCCUGCCUUCUCCUUGAGUUCCAAAGGGCGCAGCGCCAUGCUGACUGGAGCUGGCCUGCUCCAUCAUAGGGGAGCUGAAUUGUGAGUUUUCAGGAUUUUUGUGAGCCAGUGGAUA